UACGAAGGGGGCUAGCGUUGCUCGGAAUGACUGGGCGUAAAGGGCGCGUAGGCGGCUCAUACAGUCAGAUGUGAAAUUCCUGGGCUUAACCUGGGGGCUGCAUUUGAUACGUGUGGGCUUGAGUGGGGAAGAGGGUCGUGGAAUUCCCAGUGUAGAGGUGAAAUUCGUAGAUAUUGGGAAGAACAACCGGUGGCGAAGGCGGCGACCUGGUCCUUGACUGACGCUGAGGCGCGAAAGCGUGGGGAGCAAACAGG
rnacentral:rRNA from 1 species